rnacentral:lncRNA from 10 species
GGUUUCCCCCAUGCUGUUCUUGUAAUAGGAAGUUCCCACAAGGUCUGAUGAUUAUAGAAGGAGCUCUUCCCUCAUCAUUCUGCACUUCUCCUUCCUGCCGCCUUGUGAAGAAGGUGCCUUGAUUCCCCUUCGCCUUCCACCAUGACUGUAAGUUUCCCGAGGCCUUCCCAGCCAUGCUGAAUGGGAACAGUGUUCAAGGUCAUCUCUUUUGAUCAAGGGGUUCACCACCAUAUUUCUUGAGUGAAAACCUUUUGCCCUCAGACCAGCUGCUAAAGUUGAACACCACAGAUGAUUCUUUCAAAGCGAUUCUGAAAAACCAUAUGCUGGAAUCUAAAUUUCUUAAACUUUACACACAAGAUCAGAACUCCACAUCUUAAUAGCCAUAUAACUCUAUAAAGAAUUACCCCUGAUUUCUCUGGUAGAUCAUCACUGCAGAAGGAACAAAAAAAGGCUUCAUAAAAGCAUUCCACCUGUAUUGUUGGCAGAUGACUUAUAAAUGUCGCACAGACACGGGCUGACUACUGGCUCAUAGAAGAAGCAUUAAAUGAACGACGAGACAUCUGCUGGUAAAUACACAGCAAACAAAAAAUGCAACUCAGAGCCAAACAUGUGCACAGUGUGGGCCCCAUCUCUGCUCAUAAACCAAGCAAUGUGUUCUGCUAAUCAUUAGCAGAGUUAUUGAUUUUAGAUGUGUAUCACACAGCUAUAAUUUUGUCAGAGAGUAGACCACAUAAGUUGUUCUUUUUCUGGUUGUUUCAUUUUGUCUUAUUCCAAGAGUCCGUAAAUUGACGACCGGGACAAAAAUUAUAAUUGACAUCAUCUGUGGGAAAUAUUUCAUAAAACAACAGGCCCAGAUGUAGGAUUAAAGCCAUGUGGUAGUAAAAUACCCCACUGAAAAGGGGCCAGGUUCCAUGAUUUCUUAAGAAAACAGAUGUGCUCUUUUUCCCUCUGCUUGUUUUUCAAUUUUUUUUCUCCAAAUAAAUCCCCCCCCAACCACCAACGUUUUUUCCUCUCUGUCUCCUCACGAUUGCACUGGAGAGAGUUCAUAAAUGGAUUACAGAUGUAGGCUUGUACUUCAAAAUUCUAACUGUCACAAUCUCUGGAAUAAAAUAAAUGAAACAUUUGGAAAAAUUACAUUGAACUAUUGUAAAGGUAAUGAUGAUUAUGCAAACAUGUCUGCUUGACAUUUAUCUAGCAUCUUUGGGCAUGAGCAUAUGAUCUCCCAGAUACCUCAAGCUGGAGUUCAGGGAGUAGGAAGUAAUUUAGAGUUUGUCCAAAAUGCAGCAACAGUAACUCCUUCUGAAAGCCCCCUGUUCUGAAGGGGAAGCUUUUAUCUUUGAAGUUUCGACAAGUUGGUAAAAGGGUUCUCACGUACUUUUUUUCUUCUUAAGGUGAGAUUUCUGGAUAAAACAGCACAGGAAAAUAAGAACCCAAUAUAUCUCAGCCUCUACUCAUUCAAGUUCCUUUUAUCUAUAUUAUGCUCUACAAUUUCCCCUUUGGAAAUGUUGUGAACCACAAGAAAAGGAUCCUAGGGCACAAACACAGGCUAUAUUGUUUAACAACUAAUCUACAAGUGCUGUGAAGAACUGCACACAACCGGGUUUUUGCCAAAAACCUUGGUGUCAUAUGGAAUCCAUUGCAGUAUCACUGAUUACAAUUAAUUAAUUCAGCAUUUAUGCUGUAUCUCAGCAUCCACCUCCAGUAAUGUGCCAAGAUGGCUUAGUGUUGGGAGAAAAUAAUAAAGUGUAAAAGAAACUAAAUUUCCAUCAUGUGUCACGUUAAGAUUUCAACAGAAUAUCUGCACUCUCCAACUGUCCCUUUUCAGCCCCUCAAAAACUGAAGCAAACAGUACAUAAAUUUGUUUAGAAACCAGAGGAGCCUGACUCCAAUUUCCCUGCAUUGUUUCUUUAGUCUGUCUUCUUGGGGUUAAAUAAGAAAUAGAAUUCAAAGUACCAGUGAGACCCCAGGAGACCUGAGCUGAGUAACAACUCACGAAGAUCAUUUUGAUACUCCCAUUUCAGCAUCCUCCUUUCUACCAGUUCCUCAGAUGCCCAGCUCAAGGCUGAACACCUUUGUGCUCCAUGAGAUGAGUCUGAAAGAGAUUAU